rnacentral:rRNA from 1 species
UUGAACGCUGGCGGCAGGCCUAACACAUGCAAGUCGAGCGGAUGAAGGGAGCUUGCUCCUGGAUUCAGCGGCGGACGGGUGAGUAAUGCCUAGGAAUCUGCCUGGUAGUGGGGGAUAACGUCCGGAAACGGGCGCUAAUACCGCAUACGUCCUGAGGGAGAAAGUGGGGGAUCUUCGGACCUCACGCUAUCAGAUGAGCCUAGGUCGGAUUAGCUAGUUGGUGGGGUAAAGGCCUACCAAGGCGACGAUCCGUAACUGGUCUGAGAGGAUGAUCAGUCACACGGGAACUGGGACACGGUCCAGACUCCUACGGGAGGCAGCAGUGGGGAAUAUUGGACAAUGGGCGAAAGCCUGAUCCAGCCAUGCCGCGUGUGUGAAGAAGGUCUUCGGAUUGUAAAGCACUUUAAGUUGGGAGGAAGGGCAGUAAGUUAAUACCUUGCUGUUUUGACGUUACCAACAGAAUAAGCACCGGCUAACUUCGUG